CUACUAGGGUUUCUAAUCCUGUUUGCUCCCCACGCUUUCGCAUCUCAGCGUCAGUAUCGAGCCAGUGAGCCGCCUUCGCCACUGGUGUUCCUCCGAAUAUCUACGAAUUUCACCUCUACACUCGGAAUUCCACUCACCUCUCUCGAACUCCAGACCAAUAGUUUUGAAGGCCGUUCCGGGGUUGAGCCCCGGGAUUUCACCCCCAACUUUCUGGUCCGCCUACAUGCGCUUUACGCCCAGUAAUUCCGAACAACGCUAGCCCCCUCCGUAUUACCGCGGCUGCUGGCAC
rnacentral:rRNA from 1 species